AUUUGUUGCUUCCGACCUAUCUUUGCCAGGCUUUCCUACAGGGAUAACUAUUGAAUGUUUCCAUGCUGAAGGAAGUUUGCCCUCUGCCCAUAUUUUGUUGUAUAACUUCAGUAAUUUAAAAAGUGCUACAUCUGAUAAUUUUCCUAUCAUACUAUAACAUAUCUCGUCCUGCCCCGGAGAAGUUUCUUUUACUUUAGCAAUUGCUCUUUUUAAUUCAUAAAGUGUAAAAUCUGCAUCUUGCUGCUGCAGUUGCCACCGUUCUGUUUGUUUCAACGCAAACUGCCCCCUGCUGGGUCGGAGCAAAAUUUCAAAGGCGGGGAAAACAAAUAUGGGCGGGGCGACACGUGUCGCUCCGCCUCGAAGUGUCGCCCCGCCCCAUCGUCCAGACUGCACUCUCGAGACAUCAAUGUGCCCGGCGGAGUUAACAGAGACAUCAAUGUGCCCGGCGCAGUUAACAGAGACGUCAAAGUGCCCGGCGGAGUUAACAGAGACAUCAAUGUGCCCGGCGGAGUUAACAGAGACGUCAAAGUGCCCGGCGGUGUUGAGAAUGCAGACUCCUCGGCGCUGUUAGCACGAUUCCCUCCCAUGAAUCUCCAUGUUCGCUCUGUUCGACUGUUUGUAGAGUUUGGUAACCUUUGCAGUUACAAUUGCUCUGUGUGAUACUGAGUUGAAGUUGGAGGCGAGUGAUGGAGAAAACUUUCAAAUGCCCCUGGACACUGUUGAACUGGAGAGAGCCAGUCGACUGAGAAUCACUUUCAAAGGACAAUUUAAGGAAAAAGCACGUGUGAUUCUGCAGUUCUGCACCCAUGGUGAAAUGUGUUCUGUCGUGGAAACACCCGGCGUCUUGCUGAGCAUCAAACAAAGAAUCUUAACUCUUCAACAUGUCAGCUCCAAUAACUCAGGACUCUAUGACGUACUGGUCUUGAUUGGAAAUAAUGUGUCCAGGAUAAAAGCUACGCUUGUCAUAAAACCAGCAUUUCCAACCAGCAUAGUGCCAUUACACAACUCCACCACAAAUCUUACCAACUUCUCUGAACACCAGCCGCUAUAUGCUUUACUGAUUCUUCCAGUCUUCUUAGGGGCGCUCGUGUUUUUAUUCUGGAGGAAGAGAUGCAGGAGGGAACAUGAGCCAGCAGCUGCUGUUGAAGAAGCCAGAGAAACCCCUGCUGUUUCCAGACCCAGCAAAAAAAUAAAUUGGAAAAAAAAUUGCAGUGAUUUUGCAGCAGUCUCUUUUAAGGCAUGUACAGAAGACACUGAUGAGCAGCUUGUGGAUACCUGACUUGCUAACCAAAGACUAACCGAGGUGUCAAAACGCCAUUUUUAGUGGCCAAUUUGAAAAAUGUGUCUACUUCUUAUCAGAAGUAACGAAGCACUCUGCGAUUAUUGGAUGGGAGGCACGUUGCAAAUAAUGUUUAGUGAAGGGAAAAGCAUGGACCUGGCAACCCUGACUUUUAGCAGUACAUACUAAAUAUCAUUCCAAACACUAUAGCCUUUAUCCGACUCUUGGUCUAGCUCUGAUUUUUGUGCAUAUCCGAUUGGAAUCCAAUCAUCCCCAUCAGCACCCCUUCCAUUUGGAGUCCCUCAAGGCUCUAUUCUGGGCCCAAUGCUGUUUUCUUUGUAUAUGCCCCCAUUAGGGUCAAUUCUCAGGAAAUAUGACAUUUCGUUUCACUGUUAUGCAGAAGACACACACACUUAUCUGCCACUGAAACGGAAAAAUGCCAGUCCUUUAAAACUUCUUUUUGACUGUCUUAAAGACAUUAAGGAUUGGAUGGCCUUAAGUUUUUUACAUUUUAAUGAGAGCAAGACUGAAAUCAUGAUAUUUGGUCCAAACUAUACUAAGGCCUCUCUUAUGCUUGCAGUUAGUUGCAGUUAAAAACAGCUGCUGUUGUUUUUAAAUAUGCUUUAGAAAUAAAUUAAACUUGAAGCUAACUGAGAUUUGUUAU
ensembl:lncRNA